GAACGGCAGUCCCUCCUCUUCUCCCUCCACCCCCUCCACCCCCGACAUCAACCCUGAGCCUGCGGCCAACAGAGGAGCCUUCUUCCAUCCCCGCCAUCGGACCAACAUGGCGAGGGGGAAGAAUGAAUGAGUCCAUUCCCUGCUCUGGUAAGCAAUAACUGGCAAAUACUGGAGGGUCAUUCUAUGCUACAGAUUUUGGAAGAAAUUAUGACAACUCUCACAUAUUUUCUUCAAACUUUAUCAAUAACUAAUGUCAGUAUUGUGAGUAAUGAGGAUAAGCACUGAAACGUGAUGUAUUUCACACACUACAUUUUAGCUAUAUUUCAUGUUUGUCAUCAGUGGCUGAAGUGCACAUCCUGAACCUGCUGGAGACGAUUAAACAGCAGCAAGACCAGCUCGUGGCAAAGGUCAACUACCUCUGCAGCAGGAUGAACAGCACCCCGGGGACAGAAGUUGAGAUGCCUGAAAAUAUUAAUCUCCCGUUGGAACACCUGGAGGCAGUGGAGGAAUUUGAGGUGUUUUUAAAAGAACCCUCAAACCACCCAGCUCGACAGAGAAUAGUGAGUCUUCUUAAUAUGAAUGGUCCAUGCUAUAAUGCUAUUAGGUAUAUUGAUUGACCAUGAUUAUUGCAAGUAUUCUAUUGAAGCAGCACUAAACAGGCCUGUCCUGAACCCCCUUUUCCCAGAUUGUGUCAGUGAGCGACAGUCUACCGGUAUGACAUUGUGUGUAAGGUGGCACAUGUCCAUGAGAGUGUGAGCCAAGUACAUGUUUAGAAAAAGAACAAUUCAAGGGAACAGGAUUUUUUUCUUGAGAGCAAAUAGUACAAAUAUAGACGUUUUUCUUUUUCUACAUUUCGGGAUGCAUAAGCUUAGAAUUGUUUACCUUGCUGAUAUUUAAAAAAAUAUAUAUAUAUAUUUGCCUUUUAGAUUCUUUGGCCACAAUUGGAGGCCAGGAUUUGAAGAGGGUGACUUGGAACAUUCUUGGCCGGCUUUACACAGACGACGUGUCCCACCAGAUCAACUGGAAAGGUGUGAACACCAAAAAGGCCUUCAGCCAGAUGUCGGCAAAGAGCUUGCUUUUCAGUGCUGUGAGGAUAACUCCCUCACAAAGUCCAUCACCGAUGCGGAGGUCACAAAGCACACCAUCAGGUGGUUUAACCUGGCCAUGGAUCGGGCGACAAAGAGACGAGGAGGUGUCCGUCCCCCGACAUGUCCCUCACAGCCGUAGUGAAGCCGUAAUGAAGCAGUUGAGAACAUAAUGAAUAAAAAAAUUACUCAAAUUAUUGAACGUUUGAUUCUUGUUGUUAACCAGUUUUUAAUUUUCUGAUAUUUUAGCUGUGCAUUGCACAACAUUUUUUUGAAUUUCAUUGAAGAUGUAGCCUAAUAUAUAAAAUGUAUGCACUAUAGGCCGGUAAAGCACUAAAUGAGUUUCUGACCACAAAAUGAAUGUAGCCACAUUCAUUUAACAGGUUAGCAAAAACAGAAUAGGCUAUAACCGGUAUCUUUCCAUAAAUGUCCAUUUUCCAUUGAGAAGUUAUUACUUUUGUACAGUAAACUGAUGUUUUGAAUUGAACCUUUUCUGUUAGGCCU
rnacentral:lncRNA from 1 species